UUAAGUCCCGCAACGAGCGCAACCCCUACUGCCAGUUACCAUCAAGGAGACUUGGGGACUCUGGCGGAACUGCCGGUGACAAACCGGAGGAAGGUGGGGAUGACGUCAAGUCAUCAUGGCCCUUAUGUCCAGGGCUACACACGUGCUACAAUGGUCGGGACAGAGCGAAGCGAAGCAGCGAUGCGGAGCAAAACGCAAAAAGCCGACCGUAGUUCGGAUUGGAGUCUGAAACCCGACUCCAUGAAGUUGGAAUCGCUAGUAAUCGCGCAUCAGCACGGCGCGGUGAAUACGUUCCCGGGCCUUGUACACACCGCCCGUCACACCAUCCGAGUAGAGGGUACCCGAAGCCGGCAGCCUAACCCGCAAGGGAGGGCGCUGUCGAAGGUAUGUUUUGUGAGGAGGGUGAAGUCGUAACAAGGUAGCCGUACCGGAAGGUGCGGCUGGAUCACCUCCUUU
rnacentral:rRNA from 1 species